GAAAUGCGAUAAGUAAUGUGAAUUGCAGAAUUCCGUGAAUCAUCGAAUCUUUGAACGCACAUUGCGCCCCCUGGUAUUCCGGGGGGCAUGCCUGUUCGAGCGUCAUUGCAACCCUCAAGCUCGGCUUGUGUGAUGGGCGACCGUCCUUCCCCUAGGGGCGGGACGCGUCCGAAAAGCAGUGGCUAGGCCGCGAUUCCGGCGCCUGAGCGAAUGGGACUUCCACCGCUUCUAGGACCGGCCGGUACUUGGCCUUUAAACACGGUCUUAACUGACCAUCUAGGUUGACCUCGGAUCAGGUAGGGAUACCCGCUGAACUUAA
rnacentral:misc_RNA from 1 species